GACGAACGCUGGCGGCGUGCUUAACACAUGCAAGUCGAGCGGAAAACUUCGGUUUCCAGCGGCGGACGGGUGAGUAACACGUGGGCAACCUGCCUCACAAUGAGGGAUAGCCUUCCGAAAGGAAGAUUAAUACCUCAUAACACAAGAGAAACGCAUGUUUCUCUUGCCAAAGAAUUUCGUUGUGAGAUGGGCCCGCGGCGCAUUAGCUUGUUGGUGAGGUAACGGCUCACCAAGGCUUCGAUGCGUAGCCGACCUGAGAGGGUGAUCGGCCACAGUGGAACUGAGACACGGUCCAGACUCCUACGGGAGGCAGCAGUGGAGAAUAUUGCACAAUGGAGGAAACUCUGAUGCAGCAACGCCGCGUGAGUGAUGAAGGUCUUCGGAUUGUAAAGCUCUGUCUUCUGGGACGAUAAUGACGGUACCAGAGGAGGAAGCCACGGCUAACUACGUGCCAGCCGCCGCCGUAA
rnacentral:rRNA from 1 species